rnacentral:lncRNA from 1 species
UUUUUUUGGUCUCUAAUACCAAAUUUGUUUUUUAAAUACACGACUAAACUUAUUCUGGUCUAAAAGAAAAAUUUAAUAUCUGGUCUCUAAUACUCAAUUUUAGUGGGAUAGAGACGGGAAUGUGAAAGUAAAGUAAAAAAACCUCCAAAAAUAUUUUUUCAAUGUAAAAUCCCUCCAGAAAUUUAGUUUUCACCCUAAAAUCUCUCCCAAAAAAUUAAUUUCACGCUACAAUCCCUAAUCAAGCGGCGACUUCAACUCUCUUCAAAUUUCAGUCCCUAAUCAAGCGCGACUUCAUCUCUUCAAAGUUCAGAAGGUUGCAAACUUCAUCAUUCAGAACUCGAAGGUUGCAAAAUUCAUCACUUCAAACUCAGAAGAUUGCAAAAUUCAUCACUUCAAAAUAAGAAGGUUGGUGUCUCUACCAUUGGAUUAUCUGCCUAAUCAAGAGAAAGAUUAAUUUCUUCCUCUUUUAUCUGUUUUAGUUCCUUUUUUCUUCUUUUUGUUUUUUUUUCAAUUAAACCAGAAAUCAAAAAUCGGGUUCUGUAAUUUUCUAUUUUUUUUGUUGUUUUCUGCAAUUGGGUUGUUUAGAAUAGUGAUAGUUGUUGUGUGAGUGAUAAAAGUGAGAAUAUCGGUUUAAAUAUGGGGCUUGUAGGUCAAGGAGGAGAAAUUUUAGUUUUUUCAUGUAGAGUUUCGUCUCUGCGAUGGUUUUCUUCUUUGCAAUUUGUGUUACAAUUCUUCUGGGGACUUGUUUGAAGGGUCAUGAGUUUGGCGCUAUAGUAGUAAUGUCACCACUGAUAGAAACAAUUGCUUCAGGCAUUACAGCAUGCGCCACUCGAUCGACAACAGCUCGAUCACUGUUACCUUCUUGAGCCACUAGUGUAACUCCUUGUUGCUUACUAGCAUUGUUUGCUCGAUUCAAAUCACCUGAAGUUACCUUAUCAUCAACUCCUUUUUGUCUAUCAUUAGUCACCGACAAAUCCCCUGUAAUCUCCUCGAUCCUAAUAGCAAUUUGUUGACCUUCAGCGAAGUGAAAAGUCAAUAGUUUCUAUUUCCUAAAACAAACUUGUGUUGAUUACAAGAGAAAAGACACCUUUUUCUUCAGAGGUUUUUUUCUAGAUGUCCAAACAAUAUCUUUUAAUCCCGAAAAGAUGUUCUUGUAGAACUACCAUUUUUAAGGUCCAAGAAUCUGCCAUUUCUUUCGGUACCAAACGGUUUUAGCAAAUAUCUGAAAAUCUUAUGCAGGAACAUGUGUACCUUUUAAUAAUGAAUAUAAUUUGGAGUAAGGAUAUGUGUAUUAGUAAUACGUGUAUAUAACUACUUAAUUUUGAAAGUGCAUUCUUUUUACAACAUUCAUAACAUUCUUUUGUUACUUUAAUUAGUUAAAACCUUUUUUUAUUUCCUAUUUAAGGUUAUGUCAACAAGUAAGCAAUGGAUGCAACUUGUUGAUAACCGAUUUGACGAUACCUAUUUAAUUGGAGUGCAAAAGUUUUUGGAUUAUGCCUUUAGAAGAACAGGAGAAUUGUCUGAAAUACGUUGUCCGUGCGUCAAAUGUUGUAGCACAAAAUUAGGAACACGUGAGACAGUCGAGAUACAUUUGAAAGUAUAUGGAAUAAUUCGAAAUUAUACCUUUUGGUAUCAUCAUGGUGAAGUUUUGGGUGAGACACAGUCGGAAGGCGAAGUUGAUGAUGAUAAUGAAGUAGAAGAUUAUGAGGAUGAGGAUGAAAUACAUGAAAUGCUGAGGGAUUUAUAUCCUAAUAAUGAUGAAGGAACUCCGGACGUUCGUGAUAAUGAUUUACUCGGAGAUGAACCGAACGUUGAAACCAAAAAGGUUUACAGCUCAUUGAAAGAUUUCAAACAACCACUAUACCAAAAUUCGAAAUGUUCAAAGCUUUCCACUUUGAUUAAACUGCUUCAUAUAAAAGGUAUGGGUCGUUAGAGCAAUGAGUCAUUUAUAAUGUUAUUAAAAAUGUUGAAGGAUGAGUUAUUGCCUGAUGGAGCAAAUGUGCCAAAUUCAUAUUAUGAGGGAAAGAAGGUGAUUAGGUGUGAGCACGUAAUUUUUUCCCUAUGUGAAUAACUCCCAUAAAUUCAAGAAAAAUAAAUUUUUCCCAUUAUUGGCAAUUUCGUAGAUUUUUGUGGCAUUUUGUUAAUUGUUUGCAUUUCUUUGUGCAUGUUUAAUUUUGCUUAAUUCAUGAAAAUACAAAAAUACAUUACAUUUGCAUUUAAGAUUUAAUUUUAUAUUUUUAGGUUAAUUAGCAAUUUAGUGGUCUUAUAAAAAAUGAUUAAAAUCACCAAAAAUGACUCAUUUUGUAUUUUUAACUUUUUAACUUUAAAUUUUGAAUUUUCAUUAAUUUAGGAUUUAUUUAAUUAUUGAAAAUAUUGUGUUGAGUGAUUAGUUUAAUUUGGUAAGUCAUUUUAGUUUAAGAGUUAAUUUAAGUGUUAAAUUAAUUUGGUUGAAAGAAAAGAAUUUUAAUAAUAAAAGAGUUGGAAAAUUGACUUGUCUUGCGAAAAUUGGGACAAGAUCAUUGUUACAGCCCAUACAAUACCCAUUAAACCCGUCCGAGCCACGCCUAUCCCCGGCCCAAAGCUUUCAGCCCCAGGAACCUACAAACGAUGUAGUGUGGGAAUAGAACUGCGUCUCUUUGAGUUCAAUAAGCUUUAACAAAUCCUGGCCUUUCAUCUCGUUUCAUCCAACGGCCUAAAAUACUUCUCCAUUUUUGCUUAAGACUGUCCAAAUUCCCCAGAGACAAGUCAGUUCCCAAAUACCCCUUCCACUUCAUCUCCCCAUCUCUAAACCUAGACCUGCCUCCAUGAAUGUCUUCUCCAUCUCCGGCCAGCGGCGGAGCUCAAACCACCACCAAAAUCCAACCACACAACCACCGUUCAUCCCUGAGUCCCAAUCCACAACCUCUUCUCCCCAGGUCCUCACCAAAUCGGGUCAGUUUCAGAUCUAAAACAAAGAAAAGGAGAUCUUUCAAGUCUUCAAGUUCUAUGAACGAUUAGGCCUGAAACUACUAUUGUUCGUUUGUUCUCAAAGAGAACAUGUGAUUGAUACCAAUUUUGGGUCAAAUCGGAAGUUGCCGGACAAGCUUUCAAUCCUGUUUGUCUCCAACCCUAGGUAUUCCUUGUCCAUGUUUUCCCAGCUUUUGUUUCUCCUCCAUAUUCAUUCUUUCUUUUUCUCUUUCUUUUCUCUUUAUUUCCAUCUUUAAUCAGUAAAUUUGUAUAAGCAGUCGCCAUGAGUUAAUCUUGGAUAAUUUUUGUUCGGUUUGUUUUCACUAGUUAGUAUUAAAAUUGAUUUAGUUCUUUUGGGGCCAUAAUUUGAAUGUUAAUUUAUUUGGGUCAGAUUUUUGAGUUUUAGAAUACUCAUGGGCUGGGUGGAGUCUUGGGCCUUUGGUUUAUUUUUGACCCGUCCCAACAACAACCCUAGUUUGUUUGGGUCGGCCUGACCCAUAGUUGGUUUAGGUUGGGAGGGUAAAUAACAAAAAUUUAAAGGGUAGUUUAGGGAAGUUGGCCAAUGGAAUCUUACUAUAACUGAUUGAGAAUCUUCUAGGAAAGUGGGCGAAUGGAUUGGUUUGCAAAGCAAAUUUUAAAUUGCGGUCUGAAGUGAAUAGAGGGAAUUUGGGGAAGGGGUAAAUGCUAAGUUUGGAAACUAACCACUGCUGCCCUAAAACCCCUCUAUAAAGGUCCCAUUUCCUAAAUUUUCAAAGGGAGUUCAGACCCUAGAAAUUAGAAACGGAUGAAAAAUACAAACAUUGAAAAAGUUUGUAGAAUCAGAAAAAAAUACAAAUACAAAUCACAAAAUACUGUUACAUUGAAGCUUUUUGUGUAAUUCUUUGGGUUUUAAAGUUUGAAGUAAUCUUUGAUUCAUUUUGGGCUAAGAAUGGCUUGAAAGGACCGAAUCUCUUGGUUGUUCAGUUUGUGUUGGUGUUGCUGAUAUUCUGCUGAUGUUAACUCUUUGUUUUUAUUUGCAAUUAGGUAUUCUUCAAACUAUGCACAACAAGUGAAUGUGAACAUGUGUUGCGAGUUGAAACCUGAUUGAAUACAAAGUUGAAUUUGACUUCUAUUCCUUAUGUUUCUUCUAUUAUUCUAGUAUUCUGUAGUCAAUCUAAUACUAGACAUGUAUUUUGGCUUUCUCAUGUCCUUCAUAUGUUGUAAAAUGAAUCAAUUUAAGAGUUUGGGUGUGAUUUUGGAUUCAAGUGAUUGAUAUUUGAACAUCAUGGGUUCUGAUACUUGUGGUAUUGAGAAAAUAGCCUAGUUUAGAUUAGAUUUCAUAGUGUAUUUGUGAGUUGUCUUGAAAUUGAAUUCCUGCUGUGUAUUGUUGAAUGUCUAUCGGGCUCGAUAUUGAGUGUUGUUCCUCAGCCUUAGCUUUGCAAGGUUUAGGCUCUUUGGGCCUGGACUUAAGGAUGUUUACAAAGUGGGGAGUUACCUUACCAUGUGUUGUUUAGGCCUGCUUCUCCAAUCCAAUAGCUCACAUGAUCGCUACUGCAGGGCUUGGCUCUGUUAUGGGUUUGGCCGGAGGCCUCAUGGCUUUCAGUUGUGCUAAUUGGACUUUAUACUUAAAACCAUGGUUGUUUAAUGUCAAUCUCGCCAUGUUUUGUUGAUGUGGUGUGUUAAAAUGUUUAAUUGAGGUCUUGAUUUUCUUAUCAUUGUUCUUAAGAUUAGUUUGGGAUUGAAGUUAAACUGAACGUUGUAUGGUUUUGUGUUUGUAUG